CAUCUCUAGUUUUCCCCUCAUCUAUCUCACUACACUACAAUAGAAUUUUCUCUGCUUCUAAUCUCAUUAUUUCAUCAUAAUACCUAGGUUUAAUCUCUGCAAAAUCAUAGUGGAAGUCAUCCAAAGGACCCAAGCUUACUAGAGAAGAUUCAUGUCCAAACACCAUGUGGCCACAAUUUUUGCUUGAAGUGCUCUGAGAAAUGGAUUGGACAGAGGAAGCUUACUUGUGAAAAUUGCCGUGCUGCCAUUCCGCACAAAAUGGCAAGUCAACCUCGAAUCAACUCUGCACUUGUUAUUGCAAUCAGGAUGGCUAAACUGAUAAACUCUCAAAACAACAAUACCUUUGGAUUUAUUAAUGAAACUAUAUUUUGAAAUGUUGUUUCUGUAUUGCUUGCCUUCUAGGUAUUAUUGACUAGCUUAUGUUUAUGUUAAAGAAUUGUAUAUCUUGAUUUCAAUUUUAAAUGUGCUGAUAUAAGUAUUUUGUGGUGAUUAACCGCUGAAUUCUUUUCAAAUUUUAUUAAUUUUUUCACUGUCUAUCAAGGAUCCUUGAGAUUACUUUGAUUCCCAACAAGCUAAUGCACUCAAGGCACUUGGGGAUUCAAUAGCUGGUAACAGACAAUAUAAAUAUAGUGUGAGCACUGAAGAAGUGUUUAGCUCCUUGAAGGAAUUUAUCUCAGAAAAUUCACAGGGAUUACUAGAGGUCUAGAGUCAAAUCCAGCCAAUAGUCAGUCCAGAAACAA